CUCUUUUUUCUUUGUACUUGUCUCUUAGCUUGGCAGGUUGGCUUUUUCCACAAAUUGGAAGAAAUAGAAUAAAGUGAAAAGAUAACCAAAGAGAAGGUGAAGAAAGGUGUUCAGAGCUGACAGUGCUGCAGAUGUGCAUGAAGUGGUGCUUCCAGCCCCUGGCCAAUGCAAUCCCAGUGCCCAGGAAUCCCCAGGAAUCCCCAGUCUGCCCCUGAAUGGGAGCUUCAUCCCCUCAGUGAAACACUUCCCCAGGUUGCCUUUCCCUUUAUUGACUUUUGAACACUCUUGCUUAAAGUCCAGUGGAUGUGGCAAAUUAAGUUAAAGACAAACACAGACCCUCUGUGAGGGAGCAUUACUGGGCCUGAUGUGUCUGCUGGGCCAUUUGGUGAAAAUAAUCUUCAUUCUGCAUGCUGGAAGAUGAUUCUGUCUGUUCUUACUGGUAUGUUUGUGUUCUUCUGAACAUUGUCU
rnacentral:lncRNA from 1 species